rnacentral:rRNA from 2 species
CCAGUGAUAAACUGGAGGAAGGUGGGGAUGACGUCAAGUCAUCAUGGCCCUUACGACCAGGGCUACACACGUGCUACAAUGGCGCAUACAAAGAGAAGCGACCUCGCGAGAGCAAGCGGACCUCAUAAAGUGCGUCGUAGUCCGGAUUGGAGUCUGCAACUCGACUCCAUGAAGUCGGAAUCGCUAGUAAUCGUGGAUCAGAAUGCCACGGUGAAUACGUUCCCGGGCCUUGUACACACCGCCCGUCACACCAUGGGAGUGGGUUGCAAAAGAAGUAGGUAGCUUAACCUUCGGGAGGGCGCUUACCACUUUGUGAUUCAUGACUGGGGUGAAGUCGUAACAAGGUAACCGUAGGGGAACCUGCGGUUGGAUCACCUCCUUA